rnacentral:rRNA from 1 species
UACGGGGGGAGCAAGCGUUGUUCGGAUUUACUGGGCGUAAAGGGCGCGUAGGCGGCCAGCACAAGUCAGUUGUGAAAUCUCCGAGCUUAACUCGGAAAGGUCAACUGAUACUGUGCGGCUAGGGUGCGGAAGGGGCAACUGGAAUUCUUGGUGUAGCGGUGAAAUGCGUAGAUAUCAAGAGGAACACCAAUGGCGAAGGCAGCACUCUGGGACGUGACUGACGCUGAGACGCGAAAGCGUGGGGAGCAAACAGG